UACGGAGGGUGCAAGCGUUAUCCGGAUUCACUGGGUUUAAAGGGUGCGUAGGUGGGCAGGUAAGUCAGUGGUGAAAUCUCCGGGCUUAACCCGGAAACUGCCAUUGAUACUAUCUGUCUUGAAUACCGUGGAGGUGAGCGGAAUAUGUCAUGUAGCGGUGAAAUGCUUAGAUAUGACAUAGAACACCAAUUGCGAAGGCAGCUCACAAAACUGUAACUGACGCUGAGGCACGAAAGCGUGGGGAGCAAACAGG
rnacentral:rRNA from 1 species